GUUCAAGGUUGGAGCAUACAGAGUGGGAGCUUUGCACCAUUUUCUUGUUUUCUGCCAGGACACAUGAAGUGUUUGACUAAAGGACCUUGGAUUCCUUGUAUACCUUGUCCGUCUUUACCCUGCAGAAGAUGCAUCCAUAGCAAAUUAAAUCUUUACCCGCUGACCAGCAGAACCUGGAGGUCCCGUUCGUCCUGGUCGCCCUGGCAGCCCAGGGAUACCAUCUGUUCCUGGAGGUCCCUAUAGAUCGAGAACUUUAAUCUUUACACAAAUGCAUAAAAAGACUUCAGGUCUUCUGGUUCUGGUUCUGCUCUGCAUCCCCAGAACCAGAACCA